AUGAUGCCAUGUCAGCUCUAGGUGGGGCAGGUCCUAGGUUUCUAGGGCACUUUUAACAGCUGCAGAGUGUACAAGUAGGUUAAUGUAAGCUCAGAUUUGCCUUUCAUACCCUUGUCAUGUUAACAGGAGACUGCUGACCUCAACUGGGAUAAAUCAAUGUUUGUUUAUUACAAGGCAGCUCCCGUGCAGAUCUGAGGACACAACUGUGUGUGUGAAGGCAGAAGGAUUCCUUAUUUUUCCAGUGUAUCUGUGACGGAUGGAGAACGAAGCAGACCCAUGUCAUGUAUGAAACAGGAAGAAGUGGAAUAGUUACGUGGUUAAGGACAGCUGGAUCCGCAUUCAGAGAGCCCUGAGAGGGUUUGUCUCCCUCAGCGGCACAGGGAAACACAAUCAGGCAGAGGAAGGGGCAGAGGCUUGAGCAUCACUUCCCUCUAACUGGAGAUGCCACUGUAGUCACCGUGCCAAAGCCUUGAUUUGAAGGUUUCACGAGCACACUGCUGUGUGAGUACCAUGGCUAAGGGAUUGCCAAUUCUUGAUGAGAUUGCUGCAAAAUGCCCACAGUACUGCUUGGAAAAUGACAGUCAAGAAUGAGCUGUCAGAAAUUCAAUAUUACACUGGAAGCAUUUAUCAGAUGAGAAAAAGAAAUUUUGACUGAGCUGCUGGCUGUUGCCUCCACUUCUUGAAUGGCUCACAGGGGCAGAGAUGGCUGGUUGUGCUGUACUGGUGGACUGGUUGGCAGGUGAGCACCCAGUAUUUGGACAGGUCACUCCUCCAUCCCAUGUCCCUGGACUCAGAGGGCUCCUCUUCCCAGAAGAAAGGCUGUGCUGUGAGCUGUUGGACAGGGGGUGCAGGGGAGCAGAGACCCUUUGGAGCCAGGCUGACAGGCUGCUUUUAUGCUGCUGCUGAGUCACGCAUAGAUCUUUGUUGUGGUUUACCGGCAGCAGCACGUUGCUGCACCGAAUUAGGGAAGGUCCCACCCUCCACUGUGAAGCCAACAGGGAAAACUGGAGCUUCUCCAAGCCUAAUGCACAAACCAGGCAGCAGUUGCAGUUCUGGACAGAGAAAGCAUGUUAUUCAAUGUAGUUGCCCUGUGCAAUGCAGUAACAAAGAUACACUUCCUAAUCUGUCAGCUUUUGGAGCCAGCACGUCAAAUAUGGCAUUUCUGGGGGGUCUAUAAGAAUAAUAAAA